rnacentral:rRNA from 1 species
AUGCUUAACACAUGCAAGUCGAACGAGAAAGUGGAGCAAUCCAUGAGUAAAGUGGCGACCGGGUGAGUAACACGUGACUAACCUACCUUCUAGUGGGGGAUAACCCCGGGAAACCGGGGCUAAUACCGCAUAACAUCGCAAGAUCAAAGCAGCAAUGCGCUGGAAGAGGGGGUCGCGGCUGAUUAGCUAGUUGGCGGGGUAACGGCCCACCAAGGCGAAGAUCGGUAGCCGGCCUGAGAGGGCGCACGGCCACACUGGAACUGAAACACGGUCCAGACUCCUACGGGAGGCAGCAGUGGGGAAUUUUGCGCAAUGGGGGAAACCCUGACGCAGCAACGCCGCGUGGAGGAUGAAGCCCUUUGGGGCGUAAACUCCUUUCGACCAAGACGAUAAUGACGGUACUGGUGGAAGAAGCACCGGCUAACUCUGUGCCAGCAGCCGCGGUAAUACAGAGGGUGCGAGCGUUGUUCGGAAUUAUUGGGCGUAAAGGGCGCGUAGGCGGCGCGGUAAGUCACCUGUGAAAUCUCCCGGCUUAACUGGGAGCCUGCAGGCGAAACUACCGUGCUGGAGUAUGGGAGAGGUGCGUGGAAUUCCCGGUGUAGCGGUGAAAUGCGUAGAUAUCGGAAGGAACACCAGUGG